UACGUAGGUGGCGAGCGUUGUCCGGAUUUACUGGGCGUAAAGGAUGCGUAGGCGGAUAAUUAAGUGAGAUGUGAAAUACCCGGGCUUAACCUGGGGGGUGCAUUUCAAACUGGUUGUCUAGAGUGCAGGAGAGGAAAGUGGAAUUUCUAGUGUAGCGGUGAAAUGCGUAGAUAUUAGGAAGAACACCAGUGGCGAAGGCGGCUUUCUGGACUGUUACAGACGCUGAGGCAUGAAAGCAUGGGUAGCGAACAGGAUUAGAUACC
rnacentral:rRNA from 1 species